UACGGAGGGGGCUAGCGUUGUUCGGAAUUACUGGGCGUAAAGCGUGCGCAGGCGGUUAUUUAAGUCAGGUGUGAAAGCCCUGGGCUUAACCUAGGAAUUGCGCUUGAGACUGGAUAGCUUGGAGUGCGGCAGAGGGAGGUGGAAUUCCACGUGUAGCAGUGAAAUGCGUAGAGAUGUGGAGGAACACCGAUGGCGAAGGCAGCCUCCUGGGCCAGCACUGACGCUCAUGCACGAAAGCGUGGGGAGCAAACAGG
rnacentral:rRNA from 1 species